rnacentral:misc_RNA from 1 species
UUUCCGUAGGUGAACCUGCGGAAGGAUCAUUAACACGUAUUAUUUAUUAUCAAAUAUCAAAAACCAAACGUGAACCCUUUCCCUCCCUAUAUAUAUAUUAUAUAUAUACAUCUAGGCUAACCUCAUUUAAUUAAUUUUUAACACUUUAAACUUCCACUAGUUUUAAUGUAACCAUUAACACAUCUAAAAUAAAAAAGACAGGGUUAUUCGAAAGAGUAAACUUUAACUUUUUUCGAUUUACGAAAAAUUUAAAAGAACAACUCUUAACAAUGGAUAUCUUGGUUCUC